UACGUAGGGUGCAAGCGUUAAUCGGAAUUACUGGGCGUAAAGCGUGCGCAGGCGGUUCUAUAAGUCAGAUGUGAAAUCCCCGGGCUCAACCUGGGAACUGCAUUUGUGACUGUAGAGCUGGAGUACGGUAGAGGGGGAUGGAAUUCCGCGUGUAGCAGUGAAAUGCGUAGAUAUGCGGAGGAACACCGAUGGCGAAGGCAAUCCCCUGGGCCUGUACUGACGCUCAUGCACGAAAGCGUGGGGAGCAAACAGG
rnacentral:rRNA from 1 species